GUGGUAUCCUGUCUGAAUAUGGGGGGACCAUCCUCCAAGGCUAAAUACUCCUGACUGACCGAUAGUGAACCAGUACCGUGAGGGAAAGGCGAAAAGAACCCCGGCGAGGGGAGUGAAAAAGAACCUGAAACCGUGUACGUACAAGCAGUGGGAGCACAGGUUUACCUGUGUGACUGCGUACCUUUUGUAUAAUGGGUCAGCGACUUAUAUUCUGUAGCAAGGUUAACCGUAUAGGGGAGCCGGAGGGAAACCGAGUCUUAACCGGGCGUUAAGUUGCAGGGUAUAGACCCGAAACCCGGUGAUCUAGCCAUGGGCAGGUUGAAGGUUGGGUAACACUAACUGGAGGACCGAACCGACUAAUGUUGAAAAAUUAGCGGAUGACCUGUGGCUGGGGGUGAAAGGCCAAUCAAACCGGGAGAUAGCUGGUUCUCCCCGAAAGCUAUUUAGGUAGCGCCUCGUGAACUCAUCUCCGGGGGUAGAGCACUGUUUCGGCUAGGGGGCCAUCCCGGCUUACCAACCCGAUGCAAACUGCGAAUACCGGAGAAUGUUAUCACGGGAGACACACGGCGGGUGCUAACGUCCGUCGUGAAGAGGGAAACAACCCAGACCGCCAGCUAAGGUCCCAAAGUCAUGGUUAAGUGGGAAACGAUGUGGGAAGGCCCAGACAGCCAGGAUGUUGGCUUAGAAGCAGCCAUCAUUUAAAGAAAGCGUAAUAGCUCACUGGUCGAGUCGGCCUGCGCGGAAGAUGUAACGGGGCUAAACCAUGCACCGAAGCUGCGGCAGCGACACUGUGUGUUGUUGGGUAGGGGAGCGUUCUGUAAGCCUGUGAAGGUGGCCUGUGAGGGUUGCUGGAGGUAUCAGAAGUGCGAAUGCUGACAUAAGUAACGAUAAAGCGGGUGAAAAGCCCGCUCGCCGGAAGACCAAGGGUUCCUGUCCAACGUUAAUCGGGGCAGGGUGAGUCGACCCCUAAGGCGAGGCCGAAAGGCGUAGUCGAUGGGAAACGGGUUAAUAUUCCCGUACUUGGUGUUACUGCGAAGGGGGGACGGAGAAGGCUAUGUUGGCCGGGCGACGGUUGUCCCGGUUUAAGCGUGUAGGUGUGUGUUCCAGGUAAAUCCGGUUCACUUUAACACUGAGGCGUGAUGACGAGGCACUACGGUGCUGAAGCAACAAAUGCCCUGCUUCCAGGAAAAGCCUCUAAGCAUCAGGUAACACGAAAUCGUACCCCAAACCGACACAGGUGGUCAGGUAGAGAAUACCAAGGCGCUUGAGAGAACUCGGGUGAAGGAACUAGGCAAAAUGGUGCCGUAACUUCGGGAGAAGGCACGCUGACACGUAGGUGAAGUGAUUUACUCAUGGAGCUGAAGUCAGUCGAAGAUACCAGCUGGCUGCAACUGUUUAUUAAAAACACAGCACUGUGCAAA
rnacentral:rRNA from 1 species